rnacentral:tRNA from 1 species
AAGGGAGACCUAAUUCAGGUAUGGGACGAAAAAAAAGUAGUCGCUACCAAGAAUCAAUCCCAAAAGGUCGGAACGAGGUAUGUGGCUUUCAAACUAGGUUCUGGGUUCACACAAGACCUGAAUCAGGAACAAGGGCUAUUAGCUCAGGUGGUUAGAGCGCACCCCUGAUAAGGGUGAGGUCCCUGGUUCGAGUCCAGGAUGGCCCACCUGCACAGGUGGCAAAAACAAAGAAGCGAGGAAUCAGCACCUUAUCUUACUUAUAUAGUAAGAGAGAAUGCUGGCUCUGAGUAAAGAGUCCAGAGGAACCUUGAAAACUGCAUAGAGCUAGGUGAAAAAGCCAAAAAAGAAGACCGCAA